rnacentral:ncRNA from 1 species
AAAGCCGACUAGUUAAAUUAUAGCGGGUAUAGCACUGAAUUGCAGUUUCAAUUUAAGGGGGGUGCGUUUACACCUUAAGGUGAUAUUGGGGGGAUUUAAUUAUUCUACCUAUGUAAGACAGUCUCAGAAUAGCUAUAAUUGUUUAUGGAAUUUCAGACUAAUGAUGACAAGGUGGUUAGUCAAAAGGGAAACAGCCCAGAGCAUAUUUAAGGUUCCAAAUUAUAAUGCAGUGAAAUUAAGGUAGUUAUAUUUCUAAUACAGCCCCAAGAUUAGCUUGGAAACUGCUAUUCUCUAAGGAAAACGUAACAGUUCAAGGG